rnacentral:rRNA from 12 species
GCAAACAGACUUUGAUCCGGAGAUGUCUGAAUGGGGGAACCCAGCCAUCAUAAGAUGGUUACCUUACACUGAAUACAUAGGUGUAUGGAGCGAACCAGGGGAACUGAAACAUCUAAGUACCCUGAGGAAAAGAAAUCAACCGAGAUUCCCUUAGUAGUGGCGAGCGAACGGGGACCAGCCCUUAAGUUGUUUAAAGAUUAGCGGAACGCUCUGGAAAGUGCGGCCAUAGUGGGUGA